UACGUAGGGGGCAAGCGUUGUCCGGAAUCAUUGGGCGUAAAGAGCGUGUAGGCGGUCCGGUAAGUCGGUUGUGAAAGUCCAGGGCUCAACCCUGGGAUGCCGAUCGAUACUGUCGGACUAGAGUUCGGAAGAGGCGAGUGGAAUUCCCGGUGUAGCGGUGAAAUGCGCAGAUAUCAGGAAGAACACCAAUGGCGAAAGCAGCUCUCUGGGACGGUACUGACGCUGAGACGCGAAAGCGUGGGGAGCGAACAGG
rnacentral:rRNA from 1 species